CAGGGCUCUUCCUGCCGGCAGCAGUUUCAGACUUGUCUCUGAAAAGGAGCUAGUUGCUUUGUGUGUGUGUGUGUUCUGUGCUGUGAGCACUGCUACAGGGAGCUGAGUGGAGAGCUUGGAAAUCCGGGAAACCACGUCAUGCUGAGUGAGGGGCUGUUGUGAUGGGGAGAAGCAGACGGUGAGGUGUUGGAGCCAGUGUGGUGGGUCCGCCCCGGAUCUGAGUGGAAACCUGCAGCCAGAUUCCCUGUCCUGAAAAGUGGGCUUUGCUGGAUCCUUCCCAGAAGACUCUCCAUAAAGAUGUGAUAUUGGAGACUACAGGAUCCUUACUGCUAUAGGUAAGACUAUGAAUUUUCCUUCACAUUUUAAAAUAAGGAGGCAACUGUUUCUUGGUUAUUGAUUUUCUUCUGUAAUUACAAUUGAAACUGAGCAAGGAUGAUAUGAAUGAAUCAGUCAUGUUACUAAGGUUCACUGAAUCUUAGAACUUAGAACCUUAGAACUUAAAUGUUGCAUGACUUCCAAUAAUAUAUCAGGCAUUUUCUAGUACUAUAUUUUAGGCUACACAGAAGGUAAUUUUAAUGUGCAAGCUAAUACAAAUAUGCCUGAGAAGAAAUUUUUUUUCAGUUUAAGUAAUAAAAAUUUUAUUUAGAAUUUCUGGGAUGGUGGUUAAAUCUCCCCCCACUCUGGGGGGAGAAGAAAUUUUAAGGUGUGUGGAAGUUUUAAAGAAAGCAACAGUGUAAUUAAGCACAGCUUAAGGUUCAUUGAUGAUUAUUAAAUUUCCACAAAACCAUAUACCAAUGCAUUUAGUUUCAUAGCACUCAUAUUACAUAAGGUAUGCACAUUGAAUAAGUAAUAAAUACAUGUCCAAAACCUUGUAAUAAUCAAAUAGUUCAUAGUAAAGCUUGUGUUAUUCAUAUGCUUGUGAUUUUGCUAAGUUUAGUGAGAGGAGGGGUAGUUACAUUCAAGAGCCAAGGGCGACUGUUGUGGAGAAACCUUAUUCUCUACAUCAUAUGUCUGUAAGGAACAGAAAGUUAAAUGCUACCAAUGCAAUGUGGACACCUCUUAUUUGUUAUUCUUCCUUUAUUAGGUAUAUCAUAUGUCACUCUCGAUACUAGCUAUAUAAGCAUAGGGAUAUGGAAAGAAGCAACAUAUCCCUCUCUCUCUCUAAGAACAAUUAGAAGAUAUGUAGCAGCACCCAAUUUGAAUAGAUUUGUUGAAUGUGAUGCAAAUUCACAAGUAAUUACUUUUCCAGCUUUCAUUGGAAAUAUCUCAACAAACUCACACUUCAUAAAAUCCCUAUGUGUGCUAGGAAUGUAUAUAUACUUCUGUUUGUCCUGUUCGUUUAACAAAUGUAGUAUGACUCACACUAUAGGAAAACUUAUGAGUUUUUCUAGUUAUCUUCAAAUAUGUGAAAAAUCUCAUAUAGAAAAAAAGAUGCUAUAAAUGUGAGCCUUUGCAGGUAUUUUCAAAGAUCCAAAACCACCCUUAGAAGCAGGAGCAACAUGAGUGUAAAACAGCGAUAAAGCCUUAAGACCUGAUUUCUCUUUACAAUUAGACCAAAUUAUAAAAUUAAUUCAUACAGAUAUAUUCAACAGUGUAAUGGAUGUGUUACAAUUUUUAACUGUGUCAUUUAUGAAAGAAGUCAUACUGGAGAGAAACCUUCUGAAUAUUCUCAAAGUGUUAAAGCCUAUGCAUAUCAUGGUUAUCCUCAAAGGCCUGAAAGACUCCAUACUGGAGGGAAGCCCUAUAAUUGCAAUCAAUGUGUGAAAGCAUUUGCAUAUCAUACUCAUCUUCUAAGUCAGAAAAUAACUGAUACUGGAGGGAAACCCUAUGAAUGUAAUCAAUGCAUUAAGGCCUAUGCAUAUAAGUCUUCUAAUGUAUAAAAUAACCCAUACUGGAGAGAAGCACUAUGAAUGUAAUUAAUAUGGUAGAUUCUUUUCACAGGACUGUAGUCUCCAAACACUUAAAAGAACACAUACAGGAGAGAAAGAAACCCUAUGAAUGUAGUCGAUGUGGUAAAGCCUUUCAUGUCACAGUAUUUUUUCAACUAAUAAAAGAACACAUUGGAGAGAAACUCUAUGAAAGUAUUGUGGUGUCAAGCCUUUCAUGUCACAUAAUUUAAUGCAUAAAAGAACAUAUAUUGGAGAGAACCUCUAUGAAAGUGAUGUGUUAAAGCCUUUGCACAUCAUUGUAGUCUUUGAAAUUCUGAGAAAAAAAUCAUACUGCAGAGCAAAUAUUAAUGUAGUCAGUAUGGUAAGGUUUUGUACUUUGUGGUGUUCUUUAUACAAGAGUAAAACUUUUAGUGUUCAGUCAUUCUGUUAUAGCCUGUUCAUAUCACAAAUAGUCUUUGAGGACCUGAAAAAAACUCAUAUAGAAGAAAGUCUGGCUAUAAAGGAUUUCAUAAGAUCUUUAGUCAACACAUUCUAGUUAUAUAAGAGUAUUCUGGAGAAAAUAAUUUCACAGUGUCAACUAUCUGUUCAAACAGUAUAAUGCCUGUCUUUAUUUUGUUUGCACUUGCAAACUCAUAUGGACAAAGCCCUACAAAUUUAAAUGCUAAAGUAACCCUUUUAGGUUUCCUCUUCAAUGACAUGAAAUAACUAAUUCAGGUAUAAAACUUCAUGAAUGUUUAUUUGUGCCUUUUCCAUUGUGAUAAAACAUAAUGUUUAUAUCAACUCAUGAAAGAGUUUGACUCUUGGUUCCAGAGGGAUACAGGAUCACAGUGAAAGUGGCAUGGCAACAGGUGUCAGACAUGGCUGCUACAUAUCAUGAUGCUUAGAUCUCACAUUCUCAACCUGCAGGAUGAACCAGAGGGUGGAAAUGGGAAACAGUGUGCUUAUGUAAAUUAUGAAAGCAUACCCCAGGACAUAUUUCCUCCAGCAGGGCAUCAUUUCCUAAUUCAUCCCAAAUGAUACCACCAACUAAGAAGUAUUGAUAUCUCUGACUCCAAGCCUACAUGCUUGUUUUCUGUUAUAUGAAGCAGUCCAUGUACUGGAAAACUAUAAGCCUUUAUAUGCCUCAACAUCUGGGUUACAGGAAUGAAUGCAUACAAAAGAAAAAUAGUCAGGAUUGGAAAUGUUCAAUGAUUUUAAUUAAUUUUUAUUUUGUUAUGUCAGUGUGUCUUCAGAUAUAUGCAUGUGAUUAGAUGCGUAAACCCUUUAGUCUUCCUUUAUUUAUUUCUAACAGGAAUUACAGAAUGUUGUCAAAAAAAAAACCUCACUUGGAUUCUGGGCAGGGACUUGUCUUAACUGAUUGGCCCUGUCUUUAUCCCUCUCAUUAUUUGUUUUUAAGAUUUUAUUUAUUAUGUAUACAACAUUCUGCUUCCAUGUAUAUCUGCACACCAGAAUAGGGCACCAGAUCUCAUAACAGAUGGUUGUGAGGCACCAUGUGGUUGCUGGGAAUUGAACUCAGGACCUCUGGAAGAGCAGUCAGUGCUCUUAACCUCUGAGCCAUCUCUCCAGCCCUCCUUCUCAGUAUUUUAUACCAUUGUAUCCUCAGUAUUAGGAAUUACAAGAAGUUGUCAAACACCUGACCUUGGUCCUUGGAAUGAACUUUUAACUGCUUGGUCACAUCUCUAGCCCUAUGAUAUUUUAAACAUUUAUACGUCAUCUUGACAUUAGAAAAUAAGGAAGAAUGAGAAAAAUCUUAUUCAUGUAAACAAUAUGGUAAAGAUUUUGCAUAUCACAGUUGACUUCAGUUUCAAUGAAAAAGUUCUGUUUCAUCUAUUACAUUAUACCCUUGAAGCAAGUAAAUUGUUUACCAUAUUCAUGCAAGUAUGAUGGUUGAGAUCAGAGUAUUGUGGUUUGCAUUUUGAAAGUUUUGUAGUAGGUAUUGAAGUGUCCUGUAUAUGUGGCAAAUCCACUUACUGAAGUUUAUUUGCUGGUUCAUAUAUUGCUUCUUUGACUCUGUUCAUCUUCUGUUGUAUUUUCACUUUGUGAUAGGCAUUUUUUUCUGCUUAAAUGUAUAGAAUGGGUUGCCCAUUAUCUAAGUGGUUCAUUGUUUACUUAAAUAUCAGACAGGGUUAUCCUACUUUUCACAUAAAGGUGUCUGUGAAAGGGUGGUGGCUUCUUGGUCCUUGUCUAAUUUUUUUUAUAUUUCCACAGAUUUCCUCCAGAUGUCGUUUGUUUUCCAUGCUGGCUUGGAUGUCAGUAAUUAGUCAGGGCUCCCUUUGAACUCAUAGGUCUGGUGUUUCAUCCUCCUGAGUUCAAGACCAACAGUAGAUGAUGUACUCCUGAUGUGUGCUCCUUUGUAGACAUGUUUUAACAAUGUUAAUAUUAACAUGCUUAAUAGAAGAUAAGAAAAUACUUCAUGUGUCUAUCCCAAGAAGUGUCUGGUGGAGAUAUAAUAAAAUAGAAUAAUCAUCAAUCAUCUGUGUAUCUCAUAACAUAGCUUGUUGUAUUAUGGAGAUGUAUAUAGUUUUCAACAUUCCUGCUUCUUCAUGAUCCAGUUUUUAUCCAUUUGGCACUCAUCUUGAAGUAUUUUCUCCUAAAGGAAUUAUCUACAGAUGCCAGGUAAUGUAAAGACAGAUUUAUUUUUUAAAAACAUGUCUGGUGUGUGUGUGUGUGUGUGUGUGUGUGUGUGUGUGUGAUGAUGGGUUAGAAUGGGUAACAGAUAUGUUUGUGGGUUUUUUUUUAGUCUUAUUCACAUGUGAUCAAGGUCAGGUUGCCAGUCUUGCACACAACAUCACAUCAGUAUAAUAUUGUUCUCUAUUCAAAGUGGAAUUAUACUAUCAUUUAAGAAAAGAUCAACACAGGAUCUAUUUAUGCUCCCAUCUUUCUGUAUUUUUGUUAGUUUAUUCUUGGGUACUUUACAUUUGUGGUACCAGCACCGAUGUCCCCAGGAGCCGGGGAGAUGAAAUGCCAACUCAAGGGAUCAUGCAAUGAGCUACCACAUCUGCUGUUC
rnacentral:lncRNA from 1 species